GAAGGGGGGACGGAGAAGGCUAUGUUGGCCGGGCGACGGUUGUCCCGGUUUAAGCGUGUAGGCUGGUUUUCCAGGCAAAUCCGGAAAACCAAGGCUGAGGCGUGAUGACGAGGCACUACGGUGCUGAAGCGACAAAUGCCCUGCUUCCAGGAAAAGCCUCUAAGCAUCAGGUAACAUCAAAUCGUACCCAAAACCGACACAGGUGGUCAGGUAGAGAAUACCAAGGCGCUUGAGAGAACUCGGGUGAAGGAACUAGGCAAAAUGGUGCCGUAACUUCGGGAGAAGGCACGCUGAUAUGUAGGUGAAGCGACUUGCUCGUGGAGCUGAAAUCAGUCGAAGAUACCAGCUGGCUGCAACUGUUUAUUAAAAACACAGCACUGUGCAAACACGAAAGUGGACGUAUACGGUGUGACGCCUGCCCGGUGCCGGAAGGUUAAUUGAUGGGGUUAGCGGUAACGCGAAGCUCUUGAUCGAAGCCCCGGUAAACGGCGGCCGUAACUAUAACGGUCCUAAGGUAGCGAAAUUCCUUGUCGGGUAAGUUCCGACCUGCACGAAUGGCGUAAUGAUGGCCAGGCUGUCUCCACCCGAGACUCAGUGAAAUUGAACUCGCUGUGAAGAUGCAGUGUACCCGCGGCAAGACGGAAAGACCCCGUGAACCUUUACUAUAGCUUGACACUGAACAUUGAGCCUUGAUGUGUAGGAUAGGUGGGAGGCUUUGAAGUGUGGACGCCAGUCUGCAUGGAGCCGACCUUGAAAUACCACCCUUUAAUGUUUGAUGUUCUAACGUUGGCCCGUAAUCCGGGUUGCGGACAGUGUCUGGUGGGUAGUUUGACUGGGGCGGUCUCCUCCUAAAGAGUAACGGAGGAGCACGAAGGUUGGCUAAUCCUGGUCGGACAUCAGGAGGUUAGUGCAAUGGCAUAAGCCAGCUUGACUGCGAGCGUGACGGCGCGAGCAGGUGCGAAAGCAGGUCAUAGUGAUCCGGUGGUUCUGAAUGGAAGGGCCAUCGCUCAACGGAUAAAAGGUACUCCGGGGAUAACAGGCUGAUACCGCCCAAGAGUUCAUAUCGACGGCGGUGUUUGGCACCUCGAUGUCGGCUCAUCACAUCCUGGGGCUGAAGUAGGUCCCAAGGGUAUGGCUGUUCGCCAUUUAAAGUGGUACGCGAGCUGGGUUUAGAACGUCGUGAGACAGUUCGGUCCCUAUCUGCCGUGGGCGCUGGAGAACUGAGGGGGGCUGCUCCUAGUACGAGAGGACCGGAGUGGACGCAUCACUGGUGUUCGGGUUGUCAUGCCAAUGGCACUGCCCGGUAGCUAAAUGCGGAAGAGAUAAGUGCUGAAAGCAUCUAAGCACGAAACUUGCCCCGAGAUGAGUUCUCCCUGACUCCUUGAGAGUCCUGAAGGAACGUUGAAGACGACGACGUUGAUAGGCCGGGUGUGUAAGCGCAGCGAUGCGUUGAGCUAACCGGUACUAAUGAACCGUGAGGCUUAACCUU
rnacentral:rRNA from 1 species